GACGAACGCUGGCGGCGUGCUUAACACAUGCAAGUCGAACGGAAAGGCCCUGCUUUUGUGGGGUGCUCGAGUGGCGAACGGGUGAGUAACACGUGAGUAACCUGCCCUUGACUUUGGGAUAACUUCAGGAAACUGGGGCUAAUACCGGAUAGGAGCUCCUGCUGCAUGGUGGGGGUUGGAAAGUUUCGGCGGUUGGGGAUGGACUCGCGGCUUAUCAGCUUGUUGGUGGGGUAGUGGCUUACCAAGGCUUUGACUGGUAGCCGGCCUGAGAGGGUGAACGGCCACCAUGGGACUGCGAUACGGCCCAGACUCGUACGGGAGGCAGCAGUGGGGAAUAUUGCACAAUGGGCGGACGCCUGAUGCAGCAACGCCGCGUGCGUGAUGACGGCCUUUGGGUUGUAAACCGCUUUCGCCUGUGACGAAGCGUGAGUGACGGUACCGGGUAAAGAAGCACCGGCUAACUACGUG
rnacentral:rRNA from 1 species